rnacentral:rRNA from 1 species
CGGGUUGCUUGCAAGGGCGUAUGGUGGAUGCCUUGGCAGACAGUACCGAUGAAGGACGUUUGAGGCUGCGAUAUGCCUCGGGGAGCCGCCAGCAGGGCUUUGAUCCGAGGAUUUCCGAAUGGGGGAACCCGCCGGCCGUCAUGGGCCGGCACCGCGUUCGCGCGGGGGGUACGCAGGGAAGUGAAACAUCUCAGUACCUGCAGGAAAGGAUGUUCCGUGAGUAGUGGCGAGCGAAAGCGGAUCAGGCCAAACCGCGCGCGUGUGACAGGCGCCAGCCGUUGCGCGCGUGGUGUUGAGGGAGCGUGUGUCCGGGUCCUGGCGGGCCCGGCCGGAGUGAUAAAACGGCGUGUGAGGCGAACCGGAUUGAAUGCCGGGCCGCAGAGGGUGAUGGCCCCGUAGCCGAACGCGCGUCGUCUCCGGAUCGUGUUUCCCAAGUAGCGCGGGACUCGUGGAAUCCCGUGUGAAUCCGCCCCGACCGUGGGGUAAGCCUAGAUAUACCUGUCUGACCGAUAGCGAACUAGUACCGUGAGGGAAAGGUGAAAAGCACCCCGGGAGGGGAGUGAAACAGUCUCUGAAACCGUGCGCUUACAAACCGUCGGAGCCUUUCGGGGUGACGGCGUGCCUAUCGAAAAAUGAGUCUGCGAGUCAGUGGCACGUGGCGAGCGUAACCCGUGUGGGGUACGCGUAGCGAAGGCGAGUCUCAAAAGGCGUUUGAGUCGCGUGUCCUGGACCCGAAGCGGGAUGAUCUAGCCCUGAGCAGGUUGAAGCGCGGGUAAGACCGCGUGGAGGACCGAACCCACCUGGGUUGAAAACCGGGGGGAUGACUUGGGGUUAGGGGUGAAAGGCCAAUCAAAUUCCGUGAUAGCUGGUUCUCUCCGAAAUGCAUUUAGGUGCAGCGUCGGGGAUUACGUCCGGGGGGUAGAGCUACUGGAUGCUUGAGGGCCCGUAUCGGGUACCGACAGCAGCCAAACUCCGAAUACCCGUGACGCGUAUCCCGGCAGUGAGUCGGCGGGGGAUAAGCUCCGUCGUCGAAAGGGAGACAGCCCAGAUCGUCGUCUAAGGUCCCCAAGCGCGUGCUAAGUGGGAAAGGAUGUGGAGUCGCAUAGACAGCCAGGAGGUUGGCUCAGAAGCAGCCACCCUUGAAAGAGUGCGUAACAGCUCACUGGUCUAGUGGUUCCGCGCCAANNNNNNNNNNNNNNNNNNNNNNNNNNNNNNNNNNNNNNNNNNNNNNNNNNNNNNNNNNNNNNNNNNNNNNNNNNNNNNNNNNNNNNNNNNNNNNNNNGACAAUGUAGCGGGGCUCAAGCACGCCACCGAAGACGCGGCAGCGUCCGUUUGGAUGCUGGGUAGGAGAGCGUCCCCAUCGGGGCGAAGCGGCGGCGCAAGCCUGCCGUGGACCGUUGGGGAGUGAGAAUGCAGACAUGAGUAGCGAGAGGCGGGUGCGAAUCCCGCCCGCUGGAUGACCAAGGGUUCCGGGGCCACGUUCGUCGUCCCCGGGUGAGUCGGGUCCUAAGGCGAGGCCGACAGGCGUAGUCGAAUGGAUGAACGGGCUGAUAUUCCCGUACCGGCAGCGAACCGAAACAACCGAGGCCUGGGGCGCUAACCUCCGGGUCCGUGCCGUCUCCCCUUUCGGGGGGUCGCGGCGCGGGCGCGUUGGGAUCCCCCCUCGUAGUAGGUCAGCGCAGGAGUGACGCAUCAGGGCAGCCGGCCGCGGAGGUGGUUUUCCGUGGUCAAGCGUUCGAGCCCGUCCCGCAGGCAAAUCCGCGGGGCAUCGGGGCGAGGCGUGAUGAUGGGGGCCUUACGGCCCGAAUCCGGUGAUCCGUGGUGCCGAGAAAAGCUUCGGCGUCAGGCGCGUUGCCGCCCGUACCCCAAACCGACACUGGUGGUCAGGUAGAGAAUACCAAAGCGAUCGAGCGAAUCCUGGUCAAGGAACUCGGCAAAUUGCUCCCGUGCCUUCGGCAUAAGGGAGACCCCCUGCGGUGAUGAGCGGCGGGGGGUGGCACAGGCCAGGGGGUAGCGACUGUUUACCAAAAACACAGGAGCGUGCGAAGGCGCAAGCCGCUGUAUACGCUCUGACGCCUGCCCGGUGCCGGAAGGUUAAGAGGAUCCGUCAGCUUUCUGCGAAGCGGUGAAUUCAAGCCCCGGUAAACGGCGGUGGUAACUAUAACCAUCCUAAGGUAGCGAAAUUCCUUGUCGGGUAAGUUCCGACCUGCACGAAUGGCGUAACGACUUCCCCACUGUCUCGACCAGGAGCUCGGCGAAAUUGCAGUACGAGUAAAGAUGCUCGUUAAGCGCAGAAGGACGAAAAGACCCCGGGACCUUUACUAUACCUUGGUAUUGGCAUUAGGCGCGGAUUGUGUAGCAUAGGCGGGAGGCUUCGAGGCGGGUGCGCCAGCAUCCGCGGAGCCGCAAGGUGAAAUACCGCUCUGUUCUCGUUUGAUGUCUAACCUCGAACAGUCAUCCUGUUCAGGGACAGUGCCUGGCGGGUAGUUCAACUGGGGCGGUUGCCUCCCAAAGAGUAACGGAGGCGCUCAAAGGUCCGCUCGGCCCGGUUGGCAAUCGGGUGUCGAGUGUAAUCGCACAAGCGGGCUUGACUGCGAGAUCGACGGAUCGAGCAGGGACGAAAGUCGGAGAUAGUGAUCCGGUGCCGGCGCACGGGCGCGGCAUCGCUCAACGGAUAAAAGGUACCCCGGGGAUAACAGGCUGAUCAUUCCCAAGAGUCCAUAUCGACGGGAUGGUUUGGCACCUCGAUGUCGGCUCGUCGCAUCCUGGGGCUGGAGCAGGUCCCAAGGGUUCGGCUGUUCGCCGAUCAAAGCGGCACGCGAGCUGGGUUCAGAACGUCGUGAGACAGUUUGGUCUCUAUCCUCUGCGCUCGUUGGAAUCUUGAGGAGGCCUGCCCAUAGUACGAGAGGACCUGGGUGGACGAACCUCUGGUAUGCCGGUCGUCACGCCAGUGGCGCGGCCGGUUGGCUACGUUCGGAAGGGAUAACCGCUGAAAGCAUCUAAGCGGGAAGCCUUCUCCAAGAUAAGGAUUCCAUGCGGCCCCGAGCCGCUGAAGACCCCAUGCAGAACACGUGGUCGAUAGGCCGGACGUGGAAGCCCCGCGAGGGGUGGAGCCGACCGGUACUAAUGGUCGAGAGGCAACCCACA